rnacentral:rRNA from 1 species
UACAGAGGUCCCAAGCGUUGUUCGGAUUCAUUGGGCGUAAAGGGUGCGUAGGUGGCGCUGUAAGUCGGGUGUGAAAUCCUGAGGCUUAACCUCGGAACUGCAUUCGAUACUGCGGCGCUUGAGGACUGGAGAGGAGACUGGAAUUCAUGGUGUAGCAGUGAAAUGCGUAGAGAUCCCCAAGAACACCCGUUGCGAAGGCGGCUGAACUGGACCACAUAUUGACGCUGAGGCUCGAAAGCAUGGGGAGCAAACAGGG